GUUCUUGUCAUUGCAACUCCUCUGAAACCAUUCAACAUAAUUUGAUGAACUUUGUAGAUAAUAAGGACAUACUAUGUAGAUGUGCAUAUUGACAGGAAAUUAUGAUUCAGGUUUUUGGGAUACGAUUGCUUUCAAGCAAUCUGUAGACUUUUACCGUUGACUCGUGGCUGCAUUCCCUCACGUCAACCGUUUUAUUCUUAACAUUCAGCAAC
rnacentral:lncRNA from 1 species